rnacentral:snoRNA from 1 species
ACAACAGAGACAUAAGAGCACCCAUCAUCCAUUUGAAAAGAAAGAAGCCACCAGAGGCUCUUGACAGACUGAUUGAAGAUUGGAUUUCUCAAGGAGAUGCCAUAGGCACUCAAUACUGCUGUGUUUCUGAGGAGAUAUAACA